rnacentral:lncRNA from 12 species
AUGAGGAACCUCUUUCUGUCUCAGGAGCUCUCUGAUUUAUACUCUGCUCAGACAGAUUUUGACACAAUACUUUCUUGGACUUUGGGAUGCACUCUUCUCCGCAGUUUGAGAUUCUUGAGCUCCUGGUGACUUCCGGAGAGUUCUCUUGAUGAUGCAUUCUCCUCUUUAAAAUGAAAGAAAAAAAUGCCUCCUAUUUUAUGGUAGAGAGAAAAAUGAGAAUCCAAAUGAGAAUCCUACAAUUCUACUUUUUUUUUUAAGUUUUGCAAGGUAAGUGUUCAUAUAAGUUACUCAAAUCAUAAGGUAAACUUUUCAAUAAAAUGCUAAAAAGACUGAAUAAUUGUAAAAUU